UCUCCUGUAGCUCAGUGGUAGAGUGUCGGACCGGUGUGCGGAAGGUCAUAGCUUCGACUCUUGUUGGGGGAA
rnacentral:tRNA from 1 species